AUUACACAGAAUUUUAUACCUUGAUAAAUGACGGGGGGGUGUCAUGAAUAGUGAAAUAAACCAUUGAAACAAACUCAUUGUUGUACCAGGCUGUAAACGUGUAUAGCAAUGUUCACCCCACAGGAGUCCAUUUUGAGCCAGCCACUUGAACUGCAAUUUUUGCACUUCUGUCAUCGCUCAGACCUGGAGGUUGCCAUUUGGUUCCCCACAUAGAAAAUGGACUUAAUGGCUUCUGCUUCAUACUGGAAGUCACACCCAUAAUUCAUGCAAGUUCUAAUGGAGGCUAGGAAUAAAGUGGAUAGAUUGGUUAAUACGCUGUUGUGUUACUGGCCCAGCCCCCUAGAGAGCAAAGUGGGAUCCAUCUGGUCCCUGAACUACAAUGAGUUUGAUACCCCUGGCUUUGCCACUUUUAACAUUGGGUUUAAGCUGUGUUGCAGAAUGCUGCCAAAGAUUGUGUUUAAAAUGUUCCAUUUCCAAUUGAUGCAUGCGUAACAAUUACCUCAUUUACAACCACCAUGAACUAACCCACAAAUACAUGUUGUGAAUUUUAUUUAAAGUUGGCGCAUGCGAGAGUCGAACGUCUGAAACACCAUUUCACUUCCUCCUAAUGUGACCAUGACACGGACACAUCUGUCGCUGGCCGUGUUGUUCCUGUGCACGUUGCUAGCGAUAGGGGCGCCGUUCGCCGACCGUGCCGCUCACGUGGCUGUCGCCGUCGCGGGGAGGGCCGCUCCUGACCGCGGGCUUGAGAUCCUCCGAAUUGUUGGAAUGUGUCACUAGUUUAAUGUGGGCAA